AGUCAGACGUGGCGCGUGGCACCGCUCUUGGGUUCCCCUCCCUGCACAAGCCUGUCCGUCUUCUGGCCUUUCUCCAAAGGUGAUCUAAUUGGACUUUGCGGGGGCCAUUGAGUCACCCAACCAAUCUUGUGUUUCUACGGAUACGACCUACAUGGUUCACAGAUAAGGCCGUUUAAGCUCACUGUGGACAGGAGACAAUAAAUUCGGGGUGAAUUGAAAAUUAAUUUCUGAAGACCCCUAUUGCAUAUUGAGAAGACAUGGAGUGAGAUUUCCAGGCAGAACUGGAGUACUAUGUAAGACUGCUCCUGCCUCUGGAAGUGCCAGCCGCCUGACUGGAUUCUCUCCACAUUUCCUCCAGGCGCCAAAUUAUGUUCACUCUAUGCCAUGCUCCACAUGGAAAACCUGCAUCUGAUUCGCCUGCUAACUUUCCUCGCCGAUGCCUGGAAACCAGUUAGCAGAACAGACUGGGGCCUCUGAGCGGAGCUCUGGCCUCUUUGUGGGGUGACAGAGCCCUAAGAACCACUCUCCCAGCUCACGCCUGAGCAGAAGUGCUCAGUCCUAGAGGAGCACGCUGAGACACAGAGCAAGCGUUUUCCGUCUGUUUCCUUCAGGCUUUGUGUCUUUCACCUGCGUGACACAGCAUCUCUGACAUGACUGCCGCAAUCCAACCUCCGCCCUUUUCUGUGCCUCAGUCGCUUUCUUUACUCACUCGUGAAUCUGGUUUGUCACAAAAGCUGAUUCUGAGAAGGAUAACAAACCUAUAAAUAGCCUCACUAAUAACAUCAAUAAACACGUAGAGCAGAAAAGGAA